rnacentral:rRNA from 1 species
CGGGGUAACGGCCCACCAAGCCUUCGAUGGAUAGGGGUUCUGAGAGGAAGGUCCCCCACAUUGGAACUGAGACACGGUCCAAACUCCUACGGGAGGCAGCAUG